AGCGCCGGGGUGGGGCCCUCCUUCGCCUCCUGGGGCUCGCCCGCCGGCGGCUCCCUCCCUGCCCGCUCUCCCCCCGCCCGAUGCGCGCUGACCCCGCUCCCUGGGGCCUGGGGGCGGCCGGCGGGGGGUGUGGGGGCUGCUGAGGGGGCUUGUUCCAGGGCUCAGGGUUUUUUUCUCGAGUCUCUCAGAGCUGCAGAGCGGGGCUGCGGCGGGGCCCGAGGCUGUGGCACGGCUGUGGCACCGGGUCUCCCCAAGGCAAAUCCCCCGCUCACGGCGGGUUCCAGCCGUUCCCAGCAGUGUCUUCCCGGCCCCCGCAGCGUGCCCAGGACACGCUCAGGGGGCCCCGUGCGAGGUCUCUCGCUUACUUUUGGACUUGGACAGACCUAAUCUGUGAAGAUAAUUAAAGUUCCUUUGCUCUGGAUGCUGCUGAAGUACCUGGGGCUGUUCUUCCCUCCACCUUGUCACGGGCCUGCCCGUUCCCUCAGCUUGGCUCCCCUUCCAGCAGUAACUCAGCUCACUAAACCAAGGAGAUUGUGCCGGGGCGAUGCCGAGCGCGGAGCGGGUGCGGAGCGCGGUGCAGCUGUACCGGUACCUGCUGCGCUGCUGCCGCCGCCUGCCCGAGGGGAGCGUCCGCCAGCACUACAGACACGCCAUCCGCCAGAGUUUCAAAGUUCAUGCUGAUGAAGAUGACCCUGAGCGAAUCCAGCAGAUCAUUAAAAGAGCCAUUGAAGAUGCUGACUGGGUGAUGAAUAAAUAUGAAAAACAGAAGAAGAAGAAGGAUGAAGACAAGAAGGACACUGUUCAGGAGUGAAAGCACCAAGGAGCUGGAAGAUGCAACUGGGACAUGUCUGCAGCUCCAAAUGUCCAAGGUGCCAGCUGAGAACAUCAGACCAAAGGUGCUUAACUUGGGAGACC